rnacentral:rRNA from 1 species
UGGGGAAUUUUGGACAAUGGGCGCAAGCCUGAUCCAGCCAUGCCGCGUGCGGGAAGAAGGCCUUCGGGUUGUAAACCGCUUUUGUCAGGGAAGAAAUCUUCUGGGUUAAUACCUCGGGAGGAUGACGGUACCUGAAGAAUAAGCACCGGCUAACUACGUGCCAGCAGCCGCGGUAAUACGUAGGGUGCAAGCGUUAAUCGGAAUUACUGGGCGUAAAGCGUGCGCAGGCGGUUUUGUAAGACAGAGGUGAAAUCCCCGGGCUCAACCUGGGAACUGCCUUUGUGACUGCAAGGCUUGAGUGCGGCAGAGGGGGAUGGAAUUCCGCGUGUAGCAGUGAAAUGCGUAGAUAUGCGGAGGAACACCGAUGGCGAAGGCAAUCCCCUGGGCUUGCACUGACGCUCAUGCACGAAAGCGUGGGGAGCAAACAGGGUUAGAUACCCCUGGUAGUCCACGCCCUAAACGAUGUCAACUGGUUGUUGGGAAGGUUCCUCCUCAGUAACGUAGCUAACGCGUGAAGUUGACCGCCUGGGGAGUACGGCCGCAAGGUUGAAACUUAAAUGAAUUGACGGGGUCAUA